rnacentral:lncRNA from 1 species
GCUAUCCAAAAGACUUAAUUUUCUUUUCCUCUGAUCUUGUAUACAAAAAGUCUAUCAUGAUAGUAUGUGUUGAGUAUAGAAUGCAACACUGUUUCCACGAGAAUAUCCCACCAUGGUCUCUUGGUCCAGAUGAUGGAUCUGUGAAAUAACAGACUGCAUGUUCUUCAUUUUGUUCCCUAUGAUAAUUAUGUUAAAUAAUAACAUAAACAUUUAUUUUUAUGUCUUAUAGCAUUGACUAGUUAAGCAGAAGGGUCCUUAUGAGAUAUUGAACAACUAAUUAUGUUAAAUAUAUAGCUAUGACAUACUUACUUGAUCUUUCCAGUUCACCUGUCUGCUUCUCCUCCAUUGUUGAUUCCACCUGGCAGUUCUUUAUACUGUAUCCUCGUAUGUGAUGGUGUCAGAAUUUGUGGACAAAGUUACUUUCAAUAUAUGCUCUCUCUAAGCUAAUAAGAUUUUGAUAUAAGCAUGAGCAAGGCUGACAGU